rnacentral:misc_RNA from 1 species
UUACUCUAUUUCGCGCGGAAUAUGUACCACAUUUUUCUCCCAUUAUCUGGGCACGAUGUGCAAGGUCGAAGCACUUGCACGAGAGCAACGACGGUGAAAACAAGUACAUUUUUGGUGUCGGUACUAAGUCAAUCAUUAAAACAAUUCAAUUAAUUUUCGGUUUAAAAACCAUUGUGGUGAGUCUGGACUUGCAACCAAGGGGUCCCCGUUAAGAAGACCACAACUUUCUUAUUCGGCGAUACCAGAGAUGCUUUCUCAAGUGAUUUGGACACAUCUUGUCUAGUGGGAAGCCCAGAAUCACUGGUUCACACAGUGGAUAUUGAUACCGACUUAGAGAACAAAAAUGCGUCGCCGUUGCCUAAAAAAUUGGUCCACCUUACUGAAUAUCCAGCUGUUCGGAAAAGAACUACUGUGCUGUCUAAUCCUAUAAUGGUUAUUUAUAGUCUUAGUCUCAAAGAACCCCCUAGUCACUCUCAUUAGAAAAAGGAAAUGUGACUAAAGCUGAACAAGUACCAGUGCACAGCUCCAUAACAAGUUUUAAAAAAUAAUUUGAAAGCCUAUACAAAAAAGUAUCUACAGAGCUUGUUUGUCCCCAACCAGGAUAAAGGACCCCAAUUAUCAACAGGUAAAUAGCGAAAGUGAUUCUGACACAAGCAACGAUGUAAGAGACGUCGGAAAAUGAUUAUGGAGAGGGCUCACAAGAAGACUUAAUGGAAGUUCGAAAAGGAAAAAAACCUAAAAGAAACACCGCCAACUGGAAAGCCAAUAUCAGAAAACAAAAAUGCCUUUCUACAAACAGAAUACUUUUAUAGGAGCGAAAUCUUUAAAAAUGCGAUGUUUGCAGGCAAAAUUGCACCACAAAAAUUAGCCAAGAAGAGAGAGAAAACAUAUUUGCAAAUUUUUGGUCAACUUCAAAAUUAAUUGAUCAUAAACGGCAGUUUGUUGCUUCAUGUGUUAAUUUAGUGGAAAUUAAAAGACGGCGAGAACGAACUGGAGAAAAAGCAAACGAGAAAAGUAACACCAAAAAAUUCUUUUUGACUGUUUAAAAACGACGGGUGCAAGUUUAUAAAACAUUUUUUUUGAAUACCUUAGGGAUCUCGCAAACUUUUUGUUUCAACGGCAUUAGCAAAGAGAGGUGAUGGAGGCAUAGUGGAAUCAGAUAAGCGUGAAAAAAACACUCCUUCAAAUAAAAUAUCAUUUGAGUUAAAAGACACUAUAAGAAAUCAUAUUUUAAAAUUUCCAACUGUAGAAUCCCAUUAUAGUAGAGAACGAUCAUCAAGAAGAUACCCUGAUAGUAAUAUAAAUAUAACAAAAAUGUACGAUGCUUACAAAAAAAAAAUGUUGAAGCAACAUACACCCGAAAUUGAUAUUCCUAAACCGUGGUUAUACAGUGAAAUAUUCAACAAUGAAUUUAACUAUUCCUUUAAGCCUCCGGACAACGACACUUGUGAUGAGUGUGACAAAUAUCUUAUACAAUUAAAAGACUCUACAAUAAUUGAUGAAAGAAUGUCCAUCCAAAAAGAGUACGAUUUACACUUGAGUGAUUCAAGUAAUUUUUUUUUUAAAGGCACAAGAUAAGUCUCAGGCUAAAGAAAAUCAAAAACAUAGGGUGAUUAUGGUCGACCUAGAAAAAUGUUUGCCAACUCGUUUAACUACACAAUCAUUAAAGAUUGUUCAAAAAACCUCACAACCUGUUGCAUGUGGGAUGAGAGCGUCGCUGGACGAGGUGGAAAUGAAAUGGCGUCAUGUUUACUUAAAUGGGCAUUAACUAAUAUUGACGAACUUACAAUUUGGUCCGAUAAUUGCCCCUCUCAAAACCGAAAUAUGAACUCUCUUUUGGCUUAUUUUACCAUUUUAAAAUACAUUCCAACAUUAAAAGUUAUAAAUCAUAAAUACCUACUUAGAGGGCAUACCCACUUAGAAGUAGAUAGCGACCACUCUUUAAUUGAAAGAGAGAGAAAAAAAAUAACAAAAUUUCAGAUUAUGACCCCAUGGGACUGGCAACGGUUAGUUCGCCUUGCCAGUCAUAAAAAUCCGUUUAAUGUUAUUAACAUGGAGAUAUCGGAUUUCAAAAAUUUUUUGUCGUUAUUUCAAGGGACCAAUGCUCCAUUUUUACAGAGAAAAAAACUGGAAACUGUAGAAGAUUUUAGAAUAUCGCAGCUGGUUCAUAUUCAGGUUCGUUCUGACCAAUUUGGAGAGGUUUUAAGUAAGACCAGUUUUAAUGAUACUAAUUUUAAGAUACUUGAUUUAAAUAGAGUAUCCCGUAAGUCAGUUUUCCCAAAAGAAAUUCCAGUUAUAAGAGACCUACCAAAACCAGUCAGUGAGAAAAAAUACAAAGACCUUCAAAAUUUAUUACAGUGGGUCCCAAAAAUAUUUCAUCCUUUUUACCAAAAUCUGCCCUACACCGAUAAAAAAACAGAGGAUGAUAGUGAAAAUUAGUUUUUUUCCGUACUUGCUAGCACCAAGAUUUGUUUGUAUGUUUAAUCUUAAGUUGUCUGCCAACGUUGCUAUGUUAUAGGUUUUCUUAUACUUUUAAGAACAUCUAUUAAUUUUGUUUUGUUCAUCCAGUAUUUCUAUUUUUU